rnacentral:rRNA from 1 species
GCAGCCGCGGUAAUACGGAGGAUCCGAGCGUUAUCCGGAUUUAUUGGGUUUAAAGGGUGCGUAGGCGGGGGAUCAAGUCAGUGGUGAAAUGGUGUGGCUCAACCAUAGCAUUGCCGUUGAAACUGGUUCUCUUGAGUGUAAAUGAGGUAAGCGGAAUGUGUUGUGUAGCGGUGAAAUGCAUAGAUAUGACACAGAACACCAAUUGCGAAGGCAGCUUACUGGGAUACAACUGACGCUGAGGCACGAAAGCGUGGGGAUCAAACAGGAUUAGAUACCCC